CUACGGGCGGCUGCAGUGAGGAAUAUUGGACAAUGGUCGAAAGACUGAUCCAGCCAUGCCGCGUGCAGGAUGACUGCCCUAUGGGUUGUAAACUGCUUUUAUACGGGAAGAAAAACACCUACGUGUAGGUGACUGACGGUACCGUAAGAAUAAGGACCGGCUAACUUCGUGCCAGCAGCCGCGGUAAUACGGAGGGUCCAAGCGUUAUCCGGAAUCAUUGGGUUUAAAGGGUCCGUAGGCGGGCUAUUAAGUCAGAGGUGAAAGUUUGCAGCUCAACUGUAAAAUUGCCUUUGAUACUGAUAGUCUUGAAUUGUAGUGAAGUGGUUAGAAUAUGUGGUGUAGCGGUGAAAUGCAUAGAUAUCACAGAGAAUACCGAUUGCGAAGGCAGAUCACUAACUAUAUAUUGACGCUGAGGGACGAAAGCGUGGGGAGCGAACGGGAUUAGAUACCCCCGUAGUC
rnacentral:rRNA from 1 species